GACAUUUGUGCAAAGUUAAACAAAGCACAAUCAGGCAGCUAAGCAGCACUGAGUAACCAACUCUUUUUCUGAUUCUAGAACAUUUGUCGAUAACGAAUGAACUACAGUGAGUAACGCCAGUGAUCACAUUCUGUGGCCGACAGACUUGCGUUAGAUUUAGCAAUGCAGAACCGAUCAUUUGGCCAAUAGGAGUAUGCUUGUGGAGACAGAAUCAGCACACUUGAGUAAUACAUGAAAGGCAGCGUUAGAAAGAAAUUCAGUAACAUCCAAUCUAC